AUGUGAUUACUACAGAAUCGAUUGGCAGGAUUAUUGGUACAUGGGUCCCAAAUGUAACCACCUUUGGAACACUUUAGAUUUUAUUUUAGUAACUGUUAUUCCUCCAGUAGCACUGGUUAUCAUACUUACUAUAAUAUUUUUCAGUAUCUACGCCUGUAGAAGUGAAAAACCUGUGAAGCAGACCAAUGCUCCAGGCCUCCAGACCCCACAACAUAACCCUGCAUUUACUGCUGAAAUGGCUGAUAACAUGGAGCAUGGUUAUCCGCAGUCGCCAAGGGAUGUCUGGAGUGGACAAAUUCCAAAAGUUGUGCUGAAAAAACAAGAUUUUGAUGAUGUCCCAAGUCCAAGGCAAUUAGGGAAUUACAGUCCCAUGCAUCCUCAGUCAUCAGGGAGCCGAGAUCCAACAACAACAGACUAUAUUCCUAAUCAGCGACCUCAGUAUGAUAAAUUUGGCUCUCCAAGCAAUAAUGUGCCUUAUGCAGGUUAUGCAGAGAGGAGACAGUAUCAGCAAUACUAGGCACCAGCGCUUCCUGUAUCUGCAAUGUCUUGGAAUGCUGUGUGAACAAUGGACUACCCAAGUGCUGAGAGAUCAGUAAGACCUUGUAGGCUGGAACAUAGAGGAAAUAGCUGUAACUAUUAGAAAGUACUAAAUGUUAUUGCAAAGAAAAGCUAUAGAAGAUAAUUACAAAACAAAACAUGAUACUAGCAUCCAAUCUGUUUACUGUGUAAUUGAUGAGAACUUUCUGUGAAUACUUGAUUUCACAGUUUAGAUAGUUGCUUCUAAGUAUUGCUUAAAUUGUUGCCCAUCUGUCAGGACACAGGGCUCUUUUGUGAUUAGCCAUGUGUUCUGUGUCAAAAUGACAAGGAGUACCUAUCACAAAAAGCUGCCCUUCCUCAGAAGAAACUCAUGAGAAAGGAACAAGUCUUCUCAAAUUUCAGUAUGAGAAAUGACAAAUAUGCAUGCUAAUCAUUAUUCUUCCUUGGUUCCUUCCCAGGAUGGUUUACAUCAAAGGGAAAGGGGGGCAAGGGGUUGCAUUUUUUUUUAUUUCUCAGGAAGGCUUGUCAAAGACAACUUUUGCCAGAUAGUUUUUGCUUCUUGGUGUCCAUUUGGCUCACCCAUUUAUUUGUGGUGUUUGCUCCACGCAGUGUCAUGAUCUCCCUCCACAUGCUGGUGAGCAGUGGUUCCGAAUCUCAUGCUGGUAGUAGGACCAUGAAUUUCUCUUAACUAUAAUUAUGAAGAUUCUUCAGGGCAUUGUAGCAUAUAGAGCAUAUAAUGCCCUGACUGACAUUGCUGUUUGUUUUUUUUUCCCUUAAAAAAACAAGAUUUAAAGAAAGCAACCAACAAAUAACGCACAAUUUUGAACUAUGUAUUAAGAAUUUGUGUUCUUGUAACACCAGUUACCUGCAGGAUUGGGUAGAAGGGAAGGCUCUGUGCUCAGGCAUAGCCCCUUCGUCUCACUGCCACUGGCAGCACUGUACAAACAUAACCAAGGCACUUGGCUUCCCACCAUCCCAAGUCGCGUUAAAUACUGAAAUAUUGACAAAUACAGCAACCUCAGCUUUUGAGCCCAUUCCGUUGUCCCUUGCUUCUUUUGCAUUUUGUCUUCCUUUGUUGUCUUGUUGAUCCUAACAGCUGAAAUGGUUUGCCUUGAAAAAUGCAGUGGCUUUGUCACUUGUUCUGUAAAUAGUGAAAAUAAAUGAAACUAUGGAAAAUGUACUACCUUGCCA
rnacentral:lncRNA from 1 species